UCCAUAAAUUUGAAAUCAGUUUUCUUUCCAUCUUAAUUCCAAUAAAAAACCCUAAUCAAAGCUUAUUUCACCGUCGAUCUUUCUGUUGGUUCUCUUCCCUUUUCUUCAAACCCUAGAAUUGAUUGUUCUUUCUUGAGGCUUGAUCUAGAGCUCGAAUUGAUUGUUCUUUGUUUUAGCCAAACCAUUCACAACCCUAAUUUUCAUCUAUCUCCUAUUCGUGUAAGCGAUGAUGACUAUUGAAUAAACCCUAGAUGAUGGCGAUUGAAGAAACCGAACAACCCAGGGUUUCUCUGUGACCAUGACGGCUGCGGGUGUAGGUUCCACUGGUGAUGUCCAGACGAUUUUGAUGUUUCAGCAUGUAGUAAGUGGUUCGAUUUUGAUGUGAAAGAAGAAGAAAUCAAUAGAUUUUCCAGCGGAGAAAGGAAAAGUGAUCAUCUUAUGCUUUGUGCAUAGACGGGGAACGAAAGCUUUAUUAAACACUUCUAGGAAGUGAUUAUGCCAAUGGAUAAGAAGCAGAAGUUUUUGGGAUCGGAUACUUCGGAUUAUGAAAAAGUGAUCGACUUUGAUGUAUGUUCAGAGAGUACUAGAAAUUUUAAGGUUGUCUUGUGCAAAAGUGCUGGUAAAAGAAUAUGUUUAGGGAAGACUAAAAUAGGGUUGAAUUAUGGGAAUGGAAUGAAUGUAGGAUGAUGGUCAACUCGAUAUCCGUGUCGGAUGAAAAAAACAAGUGGGAAUGGUUGGGGGAGGCAUCUGGUAAAUUCUCUCUGGGUUCGGUGAAAAGGUUUCUAAUCGCCAAUGAAGAUUAUAGUUCGAACCAGGUGAUGAAUUGGUGCAAAUGGUUACCGGCGAAGUGCAACAUAUUUAUUAGGGGGUUGCUCUUAAUCAGCUUUCAACUAGAUCAGCUCUGCAGCGGAGGAACAUUAUGGUAGAGGACGGCACCUAUGCAUUAUGAAGUAAAGAUAUUGUUUUCAUGUUUUGAUGACAAUCCAAAUUUGACUAAGAGGAAAAUCGAAGCUGGAGUUUACUGCAGGAUAAUCGAAACAAGAGCUGGAUUGUUGGAGAUAGGAGUUUGCUGGCUUCUUCAGCAACCAUGGCGAUAGGAAUGUUUUUAACAAGAAAAGGUUUGGAUGCGGCUGCACAUGAUCAACAAUGCAUGAAGGGACUGACCAAUGGAGGUCCUUACCAGAACCGCGCAACAGUUACAGAGGGCGUGAAAGAGGCAGAGGAUCCGGGGUAGUUUUUUCGAACUUCUUAUUCAUUUUAGUGUAUUUUGUAAGAAAGGGUAUAUUCGUCAAUUCAGUUUAUAGGUUCUUGAGUCUCGACGAUGCAGGGAACGAGUGAAUUAACUAGGGAUAUAAAGACACUUUUGGGAGUUUUUGUGUUAGUGACAUAAAUGGGUUGGCUAACGAGUCAAAAUGAUUCAGGUCAGUGGAUAUAAAGACACUUUUGGGCGGUUUUCUAUAUGUUCAAACUUUUUGACCCGUUUAACUUUCAAUUGAUUUGUCCGUCAUUUUGCUCCUUGACACGUUAGAUUUCUAAAAAGGUUUACCUAAUUUCUAACAAGAUGGUUUGUGUGAUAACUAUUGAAGAAGGUUAAUAUUACUUUUAACCCAUUCAAUUAUGAUAAUAUUAUUUGAGAAAGGGUCGAAAGUCGCCCAUGUGCAUUUAAGGCUCAUGCCUUGAAAUUAGUAUAAAUUUUUGCAACACUAAUUAUUUUAGUAUUCUGGGUUGACCCAACCUGACCCAUUUUGAUGAGCACAAAACUAUUUUUUUUGACCCGACCAUUUUACCAUGAGUUUUAUGAUUGCAUGUAUUUUUGCCAUCUUUUCUUCAGCCACCAUUCACACAUUCCAACACAAAGAAACUUCAGGAGCAGAUUGUCAACUAAAAAGUGAAGUUGCUAUCAUGGUUAAGUGGUGAAGCUCACUCUUUGCUUAAAGGGGACCCGACGCUAAGGCUUGGAAGCUGGACUUGAGGUUGUCAUGAUAUCAAAAAUCAUAAAUGGGUCAAGGAAAUAACAAGUGAAUCUUAAAGAAGAUGGGUAUAAAUUUCAAAGCGGACUAGACUUACUUUAUCAACAAUAGAGAUGGACAGCAGAUUUCUACUCAGGUUAGAUGGGCUCUCGAGUGGAAACAGGCGCUGACCUAGGAUGAAGUUGAGGAUGAGGUGCAUCUAAUUUUGGGGCUGCUGCAUAUUACGCAUCGUAAGGACGAGUUGGACAGGUUGGGUUGGCUGUACUGAUGAAUGUUGGCGGAGUUCACAUUAAAACAAAUCAGAUUUUAUUUUCCUAAGGGUCCAAAUAAUAAUACGGGUCAUAAUGGGUUCUACUGGAAUAAGAUUGCAGUUCCAAAAGUUAGUUGUUUUGUUCAGGUAGUGGUCAACGACAACAUUCCAACGGCUAUGGACCUUGUGGUGAGGGUCGUUGAGAUGGGAAAUGUCCCAUGUAUGGUAUACGGGAGGAGACUGCAGAUCAUUUACUUGCAGGUUGUGUAAGUCCUACAACGAUAUGUUGGAGCAUGCUCUUAAAAUGAACAAACCAGCAAAGGAGAACCCUAUUAUCUAUGUGUUUUUCUUAAUGACCAUUUGGAAGAUGUGUAUGUGUCGAAAUGACAAGGUUUUUAGAGGAAAAGUAUGUCCUGAUGCAAAAAUUUUGUUAGAAGGAAAAGUCUAUUCUUGAUGACCAUUUGGAAGAUGCGGACGCGUCAAAGUGCGGGUCUGUCCUUCAAUAGGUGGAGCAAUUUUGAUGUUGGUUUGUGACGUUCCUGCGGGUUUUAGCAUUAUUAUUAUUAUUUUGGGUUAUGUACGUUUAUUUUUGUGUUUUGGGGUUGUAUGCUCUAUCUUAGCUUCUGGCUAAGAUGGAGUUUGUGAGGUUCUUAAAUAAAUUUAUCUCCUUUGAUUGGGCAAAAAUAAUGUU